rnacentral:rRNA from 1 species
GAUGAACGCUGGCGGCGUGCCUAAUACAUGCAAGUCGAGCGAACGGACGAGAAGCUUGCUUCUCUGAUGCUAGCGGCGGACGGGGGAGUAACACGUGGACAACCUACCUAUAAGACUGGAAUAACUUCGGGAAACCGUAGCUAAUACCGGUUAAUAUUAUGAACCGCAUGGUUCAUAAGUGAAAGACGGUCUUGCUGUCACUUAUAUAUGUAUCCUCGGUGCAUUAGCUAGUUGGUAAGGUACCGGCUUACCAAGGCAACGAUGCAUAGCCGACCUGAGAGGAUGGGUGGCCACACUGAGACUGAGACACGCUACAGGCUCCUAGGGGAGGCAGCAGUAGGGCAUCUUCCGGAAGCGGCGGAAGCCUGACGGAGCAACGCCGAGUGAGUGAUGAAGGUCUUCGGAUCGUAAAACUCUGUUAUUCGGGAAGAAAAUAUGUGUAAGUAACUGUGCACAUCUUGACGGUACCUAAUCAGAAAGCCACGGCUAACUACGUG